UAGUGGCGAACGGGUGAGUAACACGUGGGCAAUCUGCCCUUCACUCUGGGACAAGCCCUGGAAACGGGGUCUAAUACCGGAUAACACNCCUCACAGGCAUCUGUGAGGGUUAAAAGCUCCGGCGGUGAAGGAUGAGCCCGCGGCCUAUCAGCUUGUUGGUGAGGUAAUGGCUCACCAAGGCGACGACGGGUAGCCGGCCUGAGAGGGCGACCGGCCACACUGGGACUGAGACACGGCCCAGACUCCUACGGGAGGCAGCAGUGGGGAAUAUUGCACAAUGGGCGAAAGCCUGAUGCAGCGACGCCGCGUGAGGGAUGACGGCCUUCGGGUUGUAAACCUCUUUCAGCAGGGAAGAAGCGAAAGUGACGGUACCUGCAGAAGAAGCGCCGGCUAACUACGUGCCAGCAGCCGCGGUAAUACGUAGGGCGCAAGCGUUGUCCGGAAUUAUUGGGCGUAAAGAGCUCGUAGGCGGCUUGUCACGUCGGUUGUGAAAGCCCGGGGCUUAACCCCGGGUCUGCAGUCGAUACGGGCUAGCUAGAGUGUGGUAGGGGAGAUCGGAAUUCCU
rnacentral:rRNA from 1 species